rnacentral:rRNA from 1 species
UACGGGGGGGGCAAGCGUUGUUCGGAAUUACUGGGCGUAAAGGGCUCGUAGGCGGCCAACUAAGUCAGACGUGAAAUCCCUCGGCUUAACCGGGGAACUGCGUCUGAUACUGGAUGGCUUGAGAUUGGGAGAGGGAUGCGGAAUUCCAGGUGUAGCGGUGAAAUGCGUAGAGAUGUGGAGGAACACCAGUGGCGAAGGCGGCUUUCUGGUCUGUAACUGACGCUGAGGCGCGAAAAGCGUGGGGAGCAAACAGGG